rnacentral:lncRNA from 1 species
UUUUAUCGCAUCUAUUUCACGAUCGUUUGGCCGUUUUUUCGAUUUUUGCCACUGGCCUCCGCAAGCGCAGGUCUUUUUCUUCUCGGUGUUUGCAUUCGUGUGAGAUGUUGUUUUGGUAGAAGACUUUCUUUCGCUGUCGUCGUUUCGUAUUUCAAAAACUACGCGCGACGAAAUUUUGAAAAAAGUAUAUUCCCGAUUUAUCGAUGAAAGAGGGGAUUGUCGAGAAAGAGUGAUUCGCCGGAGAGUGCUGCCGAUUGAUGCAGAUUUUUUUCUACGAAUAAAAUUCAGAAAGGAAGUGAAAUUUCUUCGAGGGUUGGUCGUACGUACGUGUAUUGGUGUUCGUUUGACUCGUGAACCCCGUGAAAAUUGAAAGAGAGAGUCGACGGAUUACCGAUGUGGAGGAUUCUCGGCGAACGAGAAGCGACGAUUUGUAAUUCGCCUGGCAUUACUACGAAUCUGGACGACGAUCUGCAAUGCGGAGAUAAAGACGGUUCGGAAUCGCUCUGAUUGUGAGAUACACGAUAUCGUUGAUAUAUGUGUAGACGCACGUAUUAUACGAUCGAUAUAUCGAUCGUCGAUUACUUGAAGGGAGAAACCCCAGCAGAUAAUAUGCUCGGUAACGUAUGUGUGUUUGAAAAAAAGAACGACAAAAAAAACGCUGAGAAAAUAAAAAAUUACGAAAUAAAAUAAAACUUAUCGAAGGGGAGUCGUCGGCAGGACUUAUAAGGUGUUCGCGCGACGCGUGGGAGUCGAGUAAAAAACGAAGAAAAAAACGAAAUAAAAAUGGUCUCGUGACGAUAGCUCGUUCAAACCAUCCCCAAAACAAUUAUUUAACGUGUAACGAUUUAAUAUAUUGCAAGUUAUCGUUGAGCCGUUUAUUCGAUUUCUAAGAAUCUGCGAUCAGAGGUGGAUAUCGUGGUAAAAUGGUUGGUGAUUCGAAAAAAGGGAACGUCCUUGAACUUUUUUGAAGUGGUGCACCGGUCGUGAAUUAUACGGGUGAUCAUGUCUAAA